CUGGGUCCGCCGCCGCCAAGCCCGAGUACAGCCAGAGCAUCGGCAGCAGCGGAGCGUUGCUUGGCUUUUGUCUCCGUACGCUUUCUUCCUUUCCUUCCAAACUUCUGGACGCUCUCUCCGAGCUGUAUUUAUAGACCUGGAGCCCACGGCUGUAUUUUUCCUUUUGCCUCCUUUGGCUUGGGCUUAAGUUACUGGCGGGGAAAAUAAAAAAGGAGGCAGGCAUGCAGGCGGGCAAACGGGAGGAUAGAAGAGGGGAAAGCUGGAGGUGCCGCAGGCGGGACUCGAGGGGAGGCUGGGGCAGGCUGCCGGAGAGAGGGUGGAUGCUGAAAGUCUCUAACAAAAUAUCUCAGUAACGUGGAUGGUGCAAUUAUCAUGUUGUUGAGCAUUUCCUUAUUGACGUGCACCACACAUAGCGUCUAAUCUCCAAAAUGUAUGUCAAAGCAGUUUCUCGGUUUCUGACGUGUUUAGAGAGCCUGUCCUGCAGGCUUUCCAGAGAGUUUGACGCCUGCAGAGAUCUUCCUGCAGGGCUUUUCCGCAGAGCUGUCAGUUUCCUGCAGUCUAAGCUUUGCCCUGUGCGCUCGAGGAUACCCUCUCAUCACGGACAGAAAUGCCCUGUGGAAUAUGCAGCCUUCAGUGAAGUUCUGCAGAAGAGAUCCUUCCACAAGAAAAAGUCAGAGACCAAACACCACUUAAAUAGGAUACACACAGAAGUGUGGUGAGAUCCAGAGCAUGCCCAUGAAAUCAUCUGUUUAUUUAUGAUAAGAAACUCACUUCCUCUUGGAUAACCUCAGGAUUUCUUUUGUUAAACCCUUGGCAGCUUAAAAGUCAUCUUGCUUUCCAGCGUCUGAGCCUUCUUCCUUUCUCUUCCUUCUCUCUUCCCCAUACAAGGGCCCCCUCUCUUCACUCAGCUCCCACUCUCCCUCUCAAAUGACAUUCUUUCUGUACUUGUCUGCACAAACAGCACAAGGCCCAGGCUGUGCUUCUGUAAGCCAGGAAUAAUGCCUUAGUCUUUUGCAGUGAUUGAUGCACUAUCCAUGGAGAAUACUGUGCCAUGGUCAGAGAGGUUCACAAAGCCAUGCACCGUUAGGAUACCUGCUGGUCUGCUUUUUACUUUCACUGUAACUUAAAUAGAAAAAUGUGGUAAAUGUUCCAUAAGUAUAUGGUCUUCGUGGUUCUUGUUGUUGUUGUUGUUGUAAAGUUGUAGCUCACGAUUUCAAGUCAGAUUCCAGGGAGCUCCAAGCAGCUCACAUUUCCUCUCCUAAACCUUUGGCCUGACAUUACACAAGUACCUUCCAUGCGUAUGCAAAGACUAGAAUACAGCUAGAAUACUAGAGUACAGAAUACAGGAUGUUCAUACUUGCCCAGCUUGGGUGAGUAGUGACAUUGUGUUUUACCUUAUGCCUGAGCCUGCACCUGAGGCAUGCAGGCAUCUAUUACAGGACAAUUUCUAAAAGUUAAGAGAUUUACAGGACAAGUUCUAAAAGUUAAGAGAUUUCAAUUCCAUUGUGAUCUUGAGUAGCUGAGUUCUUUAAUAUUACCAGGGAAGUUCCCAUUUCCAUCAAGUCAACAGCAGAAUUCUCAUUAACUUCAGCAUUAAAUGGGAAUAUUCACUGAGCAUCUGUCAGGGGGAAAAAGAUAUGACACAAAUUUGAGAGUUUUAAAUACCUGUACUGAAAACCUUGAUCCAAACAUACUGAGAUGCUGGAAGUUCAGGAAAAG
ensembl:lncRNA